GACGAACGCUGGCGGCGUGCUUAACACAUGCAAGUCGAACGGAAAGGCCCUGCCUUUGUGGGGUGCUCGAGUGGCGAACGGGUGAGUAACACGUGAGUUACCUGUCCCUGACUUUGGGAUAACCUCAUGAAACUGGGGCUAAUACCGGCUAGGAGUUCCUGCCGCAUGGUGGGGGCUGGAAAGUUUCGGCGGUUGGGGUUGGACUGGCGGCGUAUCAGCUUGAUGGUUGGGUAGUGGAUUAGCAUGGCUUUGCCGCGUAGCAGGCCUGAGAGGGUCACCGGCCACGUCACGACGGAGCUGAGACACGGCCUACUCCGGGAGGCAGGGGUGCGGAAUAUAGCACAAUAGGCGGAAGCCUGGUGCAGCAACGCAGCGUGGGGGAUGACGGCCAUCGGGUUGUAAUCCGCAUUCGCCUGUGACGAGGCGUGAGUGACGGUAAUGGGUAAAGAAGCACCGGCUAACUACGUG
rnacentral:rRNA from 1 species